AUUAGUUUGAUCAUGGCUCAGCCUUUGACUUAAAAAAAUGAAAGUCGUAAUAAGGUAACCGUAGGUCGUAACAAGGUAACCGUAGAGUUUGAUCAUGGCUCAGGAAGUCGUAACAAGGUAACCGUAAGUCGUAACAAGGUAGUCGUAGAGUUUGAUCAUGGCUCAGGAUAAGUCGUAACAAGGUAGCCGUAAGUCGUAACAAGGUAACCGUAGAGUUUGAUCAUGGCUCAGCCUUUGACUUAAAAAAAUGGAGAAGUCGUAACAAGGUAACCGUAAGUCGUAACAAGGA
rnacentral:rRNA from 1 species